UACAGAGGUCCCAAGCGUUGUUCGGAUUCACUGGGCGUAAAGGGUGCGUAGGUGGCCAGGUAAGUUGGUGUGAAAGCUCGGAGCUUAACUCCGAAAAGUCAUUGAAUACUAUCUGGCUGGAGGGUCGGAGGGGAGACUGGAAUUCUCGGUGUAGCAGUGAAAUGCGUAGAUAUCGAGAGGAACACCAGUGGCGAAGGCGAGUCUCUGGACGACUCCUGACACUGAGGCACGAAAGCUAGGGGAGCAAACAGG
rnacentral:rRNA from 1 species